rnacentral:lncRNA from 1 species
CCCAUCUAGCUACCAGGAGAGCUGUUUACAUGGAAUCCAAGUUGCCUGCCAGGGGCAGAGCACGUUUUUCCACAGCUGCUGAGAAAGACGAGUGAGUCAAGACAGAAUAACAAAAAGCCACUUCAAAAACACACCAGAAGAAGUACGAAGCUGAGACAAUCACAGGACAAUAGAGCCCAUUGAAGAGGAGCCUGGAGUUGGAGGUAUUGGCUCAAGUCCCUCCGACUGUCAUUCAGUUGCCAUGAGACUU